rnacentral:lncRNA from 1 species
GCCUAGGAGAAAAGAUCUCUCUACAUUUGAGAGAGCAGCCAUAAUCCAGUUCCUCCUUGAAGACAGCAAGAAGGGGAAGCCUUCUAGGGGGAAGAUUGCAGCAGAUAUUACAAAAUGGAGCAGCUCACGAAGCACUAUCAAUCGGAUUUGGGCAGCUGCAAAAAAGCAAAUACAGCAGGGUGAGGUAAUAAGUUCCAUCAGUCAAAAAAUACAUAGACCAAGGCAGAAAAUAGUGCAAUUAGAUUUACAGUUAAUUGCUAGCUUAGACUUGUCCAAAAGAUCUACCAUUCGAAGGCUUGCAUGUGGUAUCCAAUGUAGCAAAAGUACUGUGGGAAGAUGGAUUAAGUUAGGGCUGAUCAAAGCUCAUUCAAAUGCCAUAAAACCCGAUCUUACCGCUCCUAACAA